rnacentral:rRNA from 1 species
UACGUGGGGUGCAAGCGUUAAUCGGAAUUACUGGGCGUAAAGCGUGCGCAGGCGGUGAUGUAAGACAGAGGUGAAAUCCCCGGGCUUAACCUGGGAACUGCCUUUGUGACUGCAUCGCUGGAGUGCGGCAGAGGGGGAUGGAAUUCCGCGUGUAGCAGUGAAAUGCGUAGAUAUGCGGAGGAACACCGAUGGCGAAGGCAAUCCCCUGGGCCUGUACUGACGCUCAUGCACGAAAGCGUGGGGAGCAAACAGGAUUAGAUACCCUGGUAGUCCACGCCCUAAACGAUGUCAACUGGUUGUUGGGUCUUCACUGACUCAGUAACAAAGCUAACGCGUGAAGUUGACCGCCUGGGGAGUACGGCCGCAAGGUUGAA